GACGAACGCUGGCGGCAUGCCUAACACAUGCAAGUCGAGCGAGUAGAUCCCUUCGGGGUGAAGCUAGCGGCGGACGGGUGAGUAACACGUGGGCAACCUGCCUCAUAGAGGGGAAUAACCUUCCGAAAGGAAGAUUAAUACCGCAUAAGAUUGUAGCUUCGCAUGAAGCAGCAAUUAAAGGAGCAAUCCGCUAUGAGAUGGGCCCGCGGCGCAUUAGCUAGUUGGUGAGGUAACGGCUCACCAAGGCGACGAUGCGUAGCCGACCUGAGAGGGUGAUCGGCCACAUUGGGACUGAGACACGGCCCAGACUCCUACGGGAGGCAGCAGUGGGGAAUAUUGCACAAUGGGGGAAACCCUGAUGCAGCAAUGCCGCGUGAGUGAUGACGGCCUUCGGGUUGUAAAGCUCUGUCUUCGGGGACGAUAAUGACGGUACCCGAGGAGGAAGCCACGGCUAACUACGUGCCAGCAGCCGCCGUAA
rnacentral:rRNA from 1 species